rnacentral:tRNA from 1 species
AUUUAAAUAGCUUAAUAUAAAGUAUAGUGUUGAAGUUACUAGGAUGAUGUUUAUCUUUAAAUA